rnacentral:lncRNA from 8 species
CAGAGUGUGUGUGUGUGUGUGUUUUUAUCCAGUGUGUGUGUGUGUGUGUGUGUGUGUUUUAUCCAGUGUGUGUGUGUGUAUGUGUUUUAUCCAGUGUGUGUGUGUGUGUAUGUGUUUUAUCCAGUGUGUGUGUGUGUGUGUUUUAUCCAGUGUGUGUGUGUGUGUGUUUUAUCCAGUGUGUGUGUGUGUGUGUGUUUUAUCCAGUGUGUGUUUUAUCCAGUGUGUGUGUGUGUGUGUGUGUUUUAUCCAGUGUGUGUGUGUGUUUUAUCCAGUGUGUGUGUGUGUGUUUUAUCCAGUGUGUGUGUGUGUAUGUGUGUUUUAUCCAGUGUGUGUGUGUGUUUUAUCCAGUGUGUAUGUGUGUGUUUUAUCCAGUGUGUGUGUGUGUGUGUUUUAUCCAGUGUGUGUGUGUGUGUGUGUGUGUGUUUUAUCCAGUGUGUGUGUGUGUAUGUGUUUUAUCCAGUGUGUGUGUGUGUGUAUGUGUUUUAUCCAGUGUGUGUGUGUGUGUGUUUUAUCCAGUGUGUGUGUGUGUGUGUUUUAUCCAGUGUGUGUGUGUGUGUGUGUUUUAUCCAGUGUGUGUGUGUGUGUUUUAUCCAGUGUGUGUGUGUGUGUGUGUUUUAUCCAGUGUGUGUGUGUGUGUUUUAUCCAGUGUGUGUGUGUUUUAUCCAGUGUGUGUGUGUGUGUGUGUGUUUUAUCCAGUGUGUGUGUGUGUGUUUUAUCCACUGUGUGUGUGUGUUCUAUCCAGUGUGUGUGUGUGUGUCCUACCUCAGUAGCGUACAGUACCUCCAAUGCCACUACCACCAGCAUCUAG